CUGACCUAGAAACCAGCCAGAUCUCUGAGACACCAUGAAGCAAACAUCUGUCAGUCUUCUGCUCUUUCUGAUCCUGGAGCUGCGCUCUGCACCCAACCAAGCUGGUCUGACUGUGAGUCCCAGCAGAUCUCAGUUCUUUAA